UCCUCCACCUUUGAUUUUGUUCGCUCCUUUGGCAAUCGACCUUCAUCCACCCACUCUUGGGUCACACCUAGAUGAAGCACCGCUCUAGGACAGUCCGUCGCCUAGUAGCUCCCGAAGUCCACCGACUUCACUGUAAUUUGUGCACCAUUGUCUGGAUCCUGGGCCUCUGCCCCUACCAGCACAAUCUCCGCUGCGCACCGCUUCCUUCAUGGCAACUUGAAUGACAACACUGUGGCAUAUUCUUCAAGAGUACCCGCCUUUGCG
rnacentral:lncRNA from 1 species